CAUACAUAUUCAUUUUCUUUCGAUGCAUAAUUACUUUAUUAUGUGUGCGCAAGCAACGGUAGCUGCCAGGGGUGAGCAGCGGUCUAGGGUUGACCCUGGAUCAACCAUGGACCGGCCCAACCCUGUCGAUCCUGGUCCGGUUCCCAAGGGGACUGUAUCGGUUCUUGGUCCUGAAAUUCCAGGACUAAUACUGUGUGGGUUAGUCCUCGGUCCUAAGAGUUUUGGUGAGGUGGCUGAAGGAGACACUGUCGAGAGGCAAUGAAAAGCUGCUCUGUGUACCUUUUAUGCCUUGGCUUUGUCAGACACUCUGGUCGUCUUGACAGAGAAAAUUUACUGGCAGUGGAAGGUUGUCAUCUGUAAGCUUCUCGAACGGGUGAACGAGGAAUGCGAUUUGGGGGCUUUGGGUAUUUUGACAUGGAGAUUUUUCUAUGACUCCUAUUCAAAAUGUAUUAAUGGGAGCAUUUUUUAUGGCCUGGGAAUGGAUUUGGUCACUUUUGCUAUGGAUCUCUUAUGUUCAAACUCGCUGGAUGAGCAGCUGAUAGGAGCCAGGAUUCUUCACUGGUUCUCUACGAAAGAACAGUUUUCAGAUGACACGCUUCAGAAGAUCGGAACAACUCUGCCAGUCAUACAGAGACUGGUGGAGUUCUUGAACUGGAAAGACCCACAAGAGGAAGAAAUCAGGCUAUCAGCUGCAGAAAUAGUUUCCAAAUUAGCCGGGGAGAAGCAAAACUCCCUUCGCAUUGCUGGAAUUCCCAGGGCAAUGGAAUCGAUAUCAUCUCUUCUCUCAACAAAUGGAAGCCCCAGUUCUGCAGCAGACAAAAUUGGCGAACAGAAAAUCAUCUUUGACCAUGAAGACUAUGGAUACUGGAUUUCCAAUAAUUUGGGACUUCUCAUUCUGAAGAAACUAGCUCAUGAUCAUGGUAACUGUGGAAAAAUUGGAAACACAAGGGGCCUUCUUUCCAAAAUCAUAGAUUUCACUCGUGGUGACAAAAGAAUAUUGAAGGACUCAACCAUUACCACAUCGCAGGUUUUGACUGUUAAAAGAUCCCUUCUGGUUAUAAAGAAGCUGGCAAGCACAACAGGUACCAUAGGAAAAAAAUCUCUGGAGAGAGAUCUCAGAGAUAGUCUACACCAUAAGCAAUAUAAGAGAUAUACUACGACAUGGAGAGAAACAACCAGAACUUCAGAAACUAGGGAUUGGGAUCCUUACCAAUUUAGCACAAGACAACAAUGCGACAGAAAAGAACUGUUAAAGAUUUUCUUCCAAGGAGGGCCAGAAAAUCAAAGGGAUGUGAGGAUUGUGGCCGGAGAAGCACUGGCAAUGCUGGCUUUCGAGAGCAAGAGUAACUGUCACUGCAUCUUGAAGUUAAAUGUAGUGGAGAAGCUCCUAAAAGCAUUGGAGAUUCCGCUUCUUCAUGUUAAUGCUGGAAGAAUUUUGAGGAAUCUGUGCACUUACAGUGGGCCAGAGUCCUUCAACCAGCUAAAGGGAGUAACAGCAGCGGCACCAACAGUUCUCAAGGCAAUCUUGUCAGGAUAAGGCAAACUACAAGAGGUGAUGGUUGGGUUAGCGGUACAUGCUUUCAAGUUCAUGACAGCAGAAGAAUUGACUGCCGUCGAGAGGGCAGGGUUUAGAGAAGCCAAAUUAGCUUGCGCUUUGGUCAAGAUCCUGAGGAGCCACUGGAACCCACAUAUAAAUGUUCCAAGAAUGAGAAGGUUUGCAAUCAAGUUGGCAAUCUGGAUGAUGAGAGAGAAAUCAACAAAUGUGCAGAUCUUCAGGGAUCUGGGUAUGGAGGAGGAGCUUGAAGGAGUAAUGGAUAUGACAUCAGAGCUAGAGAGCUUCAAUAUUUUCUCUGGCACCAUUGGACUAAGCAGGCACAGCACAACCAUUCACUCACUUGUUGAGACCGCACUUAUGCUGCUGAAGAACAACAUGAUUGAUCAAACAAAAGAUUACUGACACAGUGAUGAUGCCAAAAUAUCCAACAAAUGGAAAACAUGAAGGCAUGCCGGUUCAUUCUCCAAUCCCAGAUGUAAAGAAAUAAAUGUAAUUGCUUCUUUGGCAACUCUGUCCCACAUAAGUAUGAUGAAAUGCUUCCGAAAGUUAGCACCUUCCUUAUUUGUUUGCACAGGUUUUGUGCGAUUAACAGCACACCACAAGUACUGCUACCAAAACAUAUGCAAAAUGUGUACAUAGACCACAUUCUUAUAAUUUACAUUUCAACUCCUGUACAUUCAAGCA